rnacentral:lncRNA from 1 species
AAAUGGGGUCACCGAACUUGUUUUCUUGCUACAUGUAAAAAUGGGUAAAUUCCUAACACAUUCUAUUGUAAAAGUAACACUAUCUGGAUUAUCUGCCCUUGCAUUUGAGUUGCCUCCCCUUAUUUGACAAAGUUGGAAAAAAAUGAAUCAAACAAAAGGAUUCUUAUUUUUGUAAAAUACAAUCAUAAAUAUGAUCAAACAUGGCAUUUUCUAUAUUAUAAUGAAAAUUCUUACACAUGAAUACCUACUACUAUAAAAAUUUGCACAUUUCAUCAAAGAUCUAGACCUUGUUUUCUAGUAUUUCAAAAUCCAAGAUGGAGGAAGACACCC